ensembl:lncRNA
GAGCAACUCACGUUUGUUCUCGUUGUCCGGCAUGUGCUGAAGUCUGGGUGCUUUGUUUGUUGCUCGCCAGUACCGUGCGGGUGAGCAAACCGUACUAAGGAGAAGGUCAGACCUGAACCAGACCUGGUGAGCCCAGGGUCCUACCUGCUGGUGCACAGGUGCAUUGGGCCAAGGAGGCUGAACUGGUGACACGCAGUGGUCAGCAUGACAGCCACUGCUCUUUUUCUCAGACCAUAGUUUUAGUUUAGAUUAUGCUCAAGUGCCUCCAUCUUGCUCCCUCUAUUCAUAGAAAUAACACACUGAUAUUGUGCCCUUUUGAUGACCGUUGCUUCCCCCUUCCCCACUUCUAUUGUGUUGUGUCUUUUAACUAGGAUCAGUAAUCGUAUUUGAGUGUGUUGGUUUGUAGUGUUACUUAUUUUAGGCUUUCUUAACAGUGUGCAGUGUUUUUAUUGUUGGAAGUGUCAUUGUGCCCCCGGUCAAUCACUACUGGUAUAAAUUAUUUGGAUGUGGUUUUAUAAAGUUAUUGUUUAAAUAAAAGUGAUAUUGCAUUGUACACGCAGAAGCCUCUGUCCGUCUAUGAUCUACCUCGUAUGGGGUUUUGGCCAAUAAGAUAAUUGAAUUCAGGGUCUCUCCCCUCCAAAGAGAGUGGCGUUGUCACGUCUGGAUACUAUUCCCAAAGUAUUUUAAGUGUCCAUUAGGUCACAACUAGAAUAGUUACUGUAGAUAUUAAUGUCCCACUAGUUAGCUUGAGUGAAAGCACUGCUGCUACUGUGGAAGCAGGACAAAAUAUCAUGUCUGUACAGUGAGAGGG